UUCCGCAAUGGGCGAAAGCCUGACGGAGCAAUGCCGCGUGAGUGAUGAAGGUUUUCGGAUCGUAAAGCUCUGUUGCCAGGGAAGAACGCUUGGGAGAGUAACUGCUCUCAAGGUGACGGUACCUGAGAAGAAAGCCCCGGCUAACUACGUGCCAGCAGCCGCGGUAAUACGUAGGGGGCAAGCGUUGUCCGGAAUUAUUGGGCGUAAAGCGCGCGCAGGCGGUCAUUUAAGUCUGGUGUUUAAUCCCGGGGCUCAACCCCGGAUCGCACUGGAAACUGGGUGACUUGAGUGCAGAAGAGGAGAGUGGAAUUCCACGUGUAGCGGUGAAAUGCGUAGAUAUGUGGAGGAACACCAGUGGCGAAGGCGACUCUCUGGGCUGUAACUGACGCUGAGGCGCGAAAGCGUGGGGAGCAAACAGGAUUAGAUACCCUGGUAGUCCACGCCGUAAACGAUGAGUGCUAGGUGUUAGGGGUUUCGAUACCCUUGGUGCCGAAGUUAACACAUUAAGCACUCCGCCUGGGGAGUACGGUCGCAAGACUGAAACUCAAAGGAAUUGACGGGGACCCGCACAAGCAGUGGAGUAUGUGGUUUAAUUCGAAGCAACGCGAAGAACCUUACCAGGUCUUGACAUCCCUAUGAUCGAUGCAGAGAUGUAUCUUUCCUUCGGGACAGAGGAGACAGGUGGUGCAUGGUUGUCGUCAGCUCGUGUCGUGAGAUGUUGGGUUAAGUCCCGCAACGAGCGCAACCCUUGAUCUUAGUUGCCAGCACUUCGGGUGGGCACUCUAAGGUGACUGCCGGUGACAAACCGGAGGAAGGUGGGGAUGACGUCAAAUCAUCAUGCCCCUUAUGACCUGGGCUACACACGUACUACAAUGGCCGGUACAACGGGCAGUGAAGCCGCGAGGUGGAACCAAUCCUAAAAAGCCGGUCUCAGUUCGGAUUGCAGGCUGCAACUCGCCUGCAUGAAGUCGGAAUUGCUAGUAAUCGCGGAUCAGCAUGCCCC
rnacentral:rRNA from 1 species